rnacentral:lncRNA from 1 species
CCUGGCCCUCCCGACAGCACCAGAAACGCCGCUCCGUUUACCCACAUUGCCCCUAUUUAAAAACAAAACAAAAAGCCCCACUCCACCAUCAGCCCUUCAGCAUCCAAGACACCAGGGAAGGACAGACAGUGGUGGGAGGACGCUCCAUAUGCCAGCGGUGUGAGGUGAGUCUGCCAGAAGAUUCCCAAAGAGCCGGCCAGGCUGGGAGAGACAGGCCUCCCCCAGGAUGCUGGAAACGUACUUUUGGGAAUAUACAAAAAUCAGAUACAAAUAGCUAUCUGUGUGGGGCAUAAACAAAAACUGCCAAGCCCUGGAAGGGUCCCAGGCCCCUUUAGAAAAUGUUUAUGGCCAAAGAAUCUGGAAUGUUUGGCCAAGGGCUUGGAAUCCAGACACUGUUCAUGCCCGCAUAAAUGAGACACCCUACAGGGCAAAUGCAGGCCUGUGUGUCCAGCCAACUAUGGGGCAGAGACAAACUGAGGCUGACCGGCCAUGGGAUAGCACCCUCCUCCACCUCAACCCAUGAAACAGGUCAUCAAGAGGCAGGAGCCCAGAACCAGGCACACCGGUACACUAAACUCAGAAACAGGAUGUCUAAGGUGACGGGCACUUCAGGGUGCUGACUUGUACCCAAAUCCACUCUGCAAAAGUCCGAAGGACAGAUUUAAUUGGUGAACCCAGACCCCAGCAGAAAGAAGAGUCAGAGGUGCUCAAAAACCUAUUUAUCAGUUUGAGGAGAACGUGAAACCCAUGGGUCCCCAGAAACCCAUUCUCCUAGGCGGUCCUCUGACGUCAGGUCCACAAUCCCUGCACUUCACAUAUUGCCCUUCGUUUUACUGAAGAUGAAGAGGGGCAGAAACUCCAAGCACACAAAAUGGAACUAGAAACGGACCCCACCUUGAAGACAUGUACAACCAGGAUAACAGCCUGCCAGGAGGCGGAACCAGGAAAAACGGAGUCUGGACAGAGUCAUCCAUGGGGCACACUGAAAACAGCCCCCAGAUGAGGUAUUGGGAUUGGGCAGUGGGUUCUAGCCUCAGCUCACCCUCUGCUGGCCAGGAAACCCUCUCUCAUCUCAGGCAUCGCCUUCCUCUGAGAAAUAGAAAAAGCCUCACAGGAACAUCUCUCCCUGCCUCUUCAUGACCCAAGUGUUACCAGCAAACUGCAGUAAAUCUGGAUAUCCUUCAACUACCAGAGAGCUUCAAGCUCUACUGUCAGGAAGGGAAGAGUCUUCCAGCUGGCAGGAAAUACCCCACCAGAGCAUCUGGCUCUCUCCCUCCACGUCAUUUGUACUCACUUAUAUGUGCCUCCUCUAGGUCUUUGACCCUCUCCCCACAUAAUGAAGUAUUAUCUAGGCCCUACUCCAAUGUCACCAUUCCAUGAAGGCCUCCUGGA